GGCAGCAGUCACGGAUCAGGUAGGAAGGCAGAGGCAGGGGCGGGGCCCUCUCACUGCAGUUAAGUGACUCUCAGGAGCGGUGGGAAGGACAGAGGCUGCAGUUUCCCCUGAUCUCCAGAGAGCCCGAGGUGCGCCCACCCCGGCCCUGUGCCCGGUGAUGUCCUCGCGUCCCCAGGACGAGAGCCUGGACCAGGUCACCUCCCACUCUCCUGGGGACAGGUCUGCUAGCGCCGGGCCGCCCUUCCUUACCCUGCCUGCACUGCGGAGCCCGACUACAGACUUGAUGUCAAAACCUUGGACUUUCCUCCGCCCGCCGACCAAUGGGCCUACUUGUAAUUAAAUGUGUGUUCUUAUUUUA